rnacentral:rRNA from 1 species
GAUGAACGCUGGCGGCGUGCCUAAUACAUGCAAGUCGAGCGAACAGACGAGGAGCUUGCUCCUCUGACGUUAGCGGCGGACGGGUGAGUAACACGUGGAUAACCUACCUAUAAGACUGGGAUAACUUCGGGAAACCGGAGCUAAUACCGGAUAAUAUAUUGAACCGCAUGGUUCAAUAGUGAAAGACGGUUUUGCUGUCACUUAUAGAUGGAUCCGCGCCGCAUUAGCUAGUUGGUAAGGUAACGGCUUACCAAGGCGACGAUGUGUAGCCGACCUGAGAGGGUGAUCGGCCACACUGGAACUGAGACACGGUCCAGACUCCUACGGGAGGCAGCAGUAGGGAAUCCUGCGCAAUGGGCGAAAGCCUGACGGAGCAACGCCGCGUGAGUGAUGAAGGUCUUCGGAUCGUAAAACUCUGUUAUUAGGGAAGAACAAAUGUGUAAGUAACUAUGCACGUCUUGACGGUACCUAAUCAGAAAGCCACGGCUAACUACGUG